rnacentral:piRNA from 1 species
UGCCCCUUGUCAGCCGUUAUGACUCGGGUA